rnacentral:rRNA from 1 species
UACGUAGGGUGCGAGCGUUGUCCGGAAUCAUUGGGCGUAAAGCGCGCGUAGGCGGCCCGAUAAGUCCGCUGUAAAAGUCAACGGCUCAACUGUUGAAAGCCGGUGGAUACUGUCGGGCUAGAGUACGGAAGAGGCAAGUGGAAUUCCUGGUGUAGCGGCGGAAUGCGCAGAUAUCAGGAGGAACACCUAUAGCGAAGGCAGCUUGCUGGGACGUUACUGACGCUAAGGCGCGAAAGCGUGGGGAGCGAACAGG